rnacentral:tRNA from 1 species
GGUGGCUCAGUGGCAGAGCACUUGCCUUGCAUGCCAGAAGCCCUGGGUUCGAUUCCUCAGCACCA